rnacentral:lncRNA from 1 species
GCAUAUGAGUGCUGUUUUUUCACAUUAGUAAUUAAAAGGGUUUAGCAGUUUACUUGAAAGUGGCUAAGCUUAAGUUUUUCAUUAGAUAUGUUGAUGAUAUCAUCACAAUAUGGGAAGAUGAGACUGCAAUGGAUGAUCUUAUAGAAGCAUUGUCACCUUUGGCCUUUCCCUUAAGAAGAACCAAGUCAGCAAACGGGAAGUACAUUUUCUUGAUAUUGGCAUAAAACUUGAAAACGACGGAUAAGGACCAUGGUUUACAGAAAACCAUCUUAUGAGCCUGUCAUAAUCCCUAGUUGGUCUGAUGAUCUUCUAACAUGGUGUUUAGAAUUUUCUUCAAAAAGGCUGAAGUUUAUACCACCAAACAAAAGAACCUGAAAACAGGAGAUUGAUUAUAUCUAUGAUAUAGGAUACAGGCACAGGUAUGGAAGAAAGUUUUUGAAGCACAUCCAUAAAUCUGUACAAAGAAAUCUACAGGAAUGAUGCACCAAAGAAAGCCUGACAGCAGCAAGAUCUGACUUUAUACCAAUACCAUACACCUUUAACAUGAUAACAUUUGCCAGAAAAGUAGCUAAUAAGGCAGAGAAAAGAAUAGCAGUUAGUAGGGCUCCAACACCGUUUGGUAGACUCAGAAAUGAGAAGCAUCCAAGGGAAAAGCAUGAGAAAUCAUGGGUGUAUAGGAUACCAGUUACGAAUCAGGAGACAAAAGAACAAGCUGCUUAUAUUGGAAUGACUAAUAGAACUCUAGCCCAAUGUUUACAAGAGCAUAAAAGUGAUAUAGCUAAGUCCAAAUUAACAACAACUCUUGCAAUGCAGGAAUACAAUUUUGACAUUAGUAUGCAUUGAGACCAAGCUAGGGUCAUAAAAACCAGUUAAUGCUAACUCCUAAACAUUGACCACUAAAAACCUUAGAGAUUUUAAAAAGGCAAGAUGCAAAAUGACUCCUCAAUGAUCGCCUAGGGACCCAAGUAUCCAUGGCCUGGAAAUACCUGCUGGAAGAAUGGAAAAGGAACCACAGGAGUAGGCUAGACAUCCAUCAUGCUGAACAAACACCUCAUGGACAGCGGGAGAAAGAUCCCCGUAAGCUAAUUUAAAAGGCAAGCACUAACCUCUUGAAAUAUUAUUUGGAAGGCAUGUUACUUAAGUGCAUUUUCUGCCUAACAGAAUCCUAUAUGAAGGUUAUGCACUCCACUGUUAAUAGCCUUUUAGUAUAUUAUAGGCUUUUAAUAUUUUGUUUUUUUGUU